CUUUUUGAAGGAACUGUGAGAAGCAGCAUUGAUCCAGUAGGAAUUUAUUCAGAUGAAGAAAUUUGGAAGGAUUUGGUACUGACUGUUUCCAUCAAAUUAAGUGGCUGAUGACGACGACAACUGGAGCGUGGGGCAAAGACAGCUUCUCUGUUUGGGGUGAGUUAUGUUGAAGCACAGCCAGCUCUUGUUCAUGGACGAGGCCACGGCUUUAGUUGAUUCACAGACGGAUGCUGUAAUACAAAGGAUCAUCUGAGAGGAUUUUGCUGCAUGUAAAAUAAUCAGCAUUGCUCACAGAAUACCUACAGUGAUGGACUGCAAGAGAGUUUUAGUAGUAGAUGCAGGACUGGCUAAAGAAUUUGACAAACUGUCCUGCUUGCUUGAGGGACAAUCAUUGUUGGGGGCAUUGGUUCAGGAGUAUGCCAACCGUUCAUCAGGACUAUAAGCAACCAUCUUUGGUUUCUCUAUCGUUGCUUCCGGUGAUUCCUUUUGUGCUUGCAAAUCUUCCAAGAAUCACCUGCCUGCAUUUGUCCCUCCCAUUAUUAAAAUAAGAAGAGGCCCUUCUCAGCUGUGUAUGGGAAUUAUCAAGACAAUACUGCAAGUCCAAGUCAAGCCUCCCUUAGACUUGUGGCAAGUAGCAGCUAAUCUACUCCAGUUACCACCUACAUUUCUCCAUUCUGUUUAGAAUGUAUUUAGAUGAGAACAUUAAACUUAUGCUUCUUGACAAGGGGAAAAUUCUACGGUGG